rnacentral:rRNA from 1 species
ACUCAAAUGAAUAGACGGGGACUUGCACAAGCAGUGGAUUAUGCGGUUUAAUUCGAUGACAAACGAAAAACCUUACCAAGGUUAGAAAUCCCGACGACGACUUUUGGAAACAAAUUUCUCUCGCAAGAGCGUCGGGACAGGUGAUGCAUGGCCGUCGUCAGUUCGUGAUUUGAAUUGUUCCCUUAAGUGGGGUAACGAACGCAACCCUCGUUGCCAGUUAUAUUUGUCUGGCGAGACUGCCCCCGUUUUUGUUCAGAAAGAAGUUUGUGAACAAAAACGGGGGAGGAAGGCGAGGAUGACGCCAGGUCAGCAUGUCCCUCUGACACCUUGGGCCACACGCAUAAUACAAUCGCAUCUACAACGGGUCGCGACGCCGUAAGGCUGAGCUAAUCCUAAGAAAAGGUGCGCCAGUUCGGAUUGGGGGCUGCAACUCGACCCCAUGAAGCCGGAAUUGCUAGUAAUCGCAGGUCAGCUAUACUGCGGUGAAUACGUUCUCAAGUCUUGUACACACCGCCCGU